UAUUGGUCAAUGGGCGGGAGCCUGAACCAGCCAAGUCGCGUGAGGGAAGACGGUCCUACGGAUCGUAAACCUCUUUUGCCGGGGAGCAACGGGGUCCUUGCGAGGGCUCAAUGAUAGUACCCGGACAAAACGCAACGGCUAACUCCGUGCCAGCAGCCGCGGUAAUACGGAGGAUGCGAGCGUUAUCCGGAUUUAUUGGGUUUAAAGGGUGCGUAGGCGGGCUGUUAAGUCAGCGGUCAAAUGUCGGGGCUCAACCCCGGCCUGCCGUUGAAACUGGCGGCCUCGAGUGGGCGAGAAGUAUGCGGAAUGCGUGGUGUAGCGGUGAAAUGCAUAGAUAUCACGCAGAACUCCGAUUGCAAAGGCAGCAUACCGGCGCCCUACUGACGCUGGGGCACGAAAGCGUGGGUAUCGAACAGGA
rnacentral:rRNA from 1 species